AUACAGUCUGUGAUGAGGCGAGUAUCUGCUUGCGGAACGCCAGCGAGUCAGGGAUGGUGGAAGCCUGACGGGGAAGCAUGUGGAGAAGCGCACCUCUGAGACGCUGCCUGAACUUUUUUUGUAGGGUGUGCCGGGACUGCCCGUUACAGCAGAUGCAGAAGUUGGCUCGUGUCGAUGAGACGGGCAACAAGAGUGGUACCGCGGGAGCAACAGCUCUCGUCUCUUUC
rnacentral:ncRNA from 1 species